GUUAGUGGAUCUAUUUAUGAAAAAAAAUAGCUAUAAAGACUAAAAAAAAUGAAUAGUAGUUUUGAGGUUUUAAAUAGUAAAACCUCAAAUUUGAGGUAUCACUAUUCAAAACCUCAAAAAUUGAGGAUUUAAUAUUGGAUUGGAAUGACAAAAACCUCAAAAUUUAAGGAUUUGAGGUUGGGUUGGAGAUGCUCUUAAAACCUUAAAAUAAGGUUUUGAGUUGAAGAUUCUCUUAUAUUUAUCAUCUUCGAGUUUCGAUUGAAAAGAGAGAGAGAUAAUUGAAGAAACCGUAAUUACAGAAAAGAUGUUUAAUCGAUUAUGUUCCGAGAAAUCAUCAGGCAGAAAGCCUAUAUCUAAAAAAAGAGAUUAAAUCCAAAUGCCUUUCCCUCGCUCUAAAAAUUCUUCUUUCUCCUCUUACUAAAAUAUUACUUAUUAUUUAUAUAUUUUUAAAUAGAAAACAUGGGUCCAAAGUGGUAAAGACUUUAAAACCCUUAAUGAAUUUUGAUAAUUACUAACCCAACCACUUCUUAGUCGGGUUAUCCACCCAUAUCAAAUUAAAAAAAAAAUUCAUAAAUUUAAGGGCAAUUCUUUCAAAUAGCCAUUUUUAAGUUUUUGUCACAAAAAUAGUCCUCAAAAAAAUGAGCAAAACAGUUUCUUUUUAUUUUGAAAAUUUUAAUAUUUAUUUUUUAUUUUUAAAAAUUUGAAACCAUAUCCACAAAACUCCACCCAUUAGCUAUAAAUCCUAAGUCUAAAUUAGUUAACUAUAGGGGUAAAAUAUAUUUUUACCCUUUAAUAAAAAAAAUUUUAGUCAUUUUUUUCAUUGAGAGCUAUUUUGUAACAAAAACUUAAAGAGGGCUAUCCUAAAAAAAUUUUUAAAUUUUUUUUUUUAAAUUUAAUUUAAAACAAAAGAAAAAAUCAUAAACUUGGGCCUCCACACCUUUUCUCUUCGUCGUCUACCCAUCCGACUCCUCCAUUUUUUUCUGCAAUCAAAAGAAAUGAAAUCUGCAAAGUCCAUGGAACUAGCUUAGUCUUUAUUUGAGACCGAGGUCUUCACGGCAAGCGUUUUCUCGGCAUAUAUUGAGCAAUUUCUUUUUGAUUCUCUCUAUUUUGUUUCCCGAUGAGCAUUUUAUGUGCCGUGUCAUACACCGAUUUCUCUUCGAUUCUCCCCAGUUUGCUUGCAAACGUUGAUUCUGAGGCAGAGAUGAAGGGCACAGAGGCUAGCCAUCACAAGCUCUCAAACGGAAGCUCUUCGAUCAAUCUGAACAUCACAAGCUCUCCAAUCGAAGGAGACGGUUGCAGUGGAAGACCUAGUCUUCUUUUUCUCAUUAAGAGCUCCAAGACCAUUCUUCUCCAUCAAAGAUCCUUUAUGUGCCUUUUGUAGAGGUUUUUGUAUAAAUUGUAUCAAUUUGGAGGAUUUCACUUGACGUUUCAAUUAGAAGACGACGGCCCAAGCGCCCAGAAGCCGAUGGCUGUAUCUGAAGAUCAGAGCUGCAAGGCAGUUUUAGAGAGGGUAAUUUUUUUGGACAAUCCGUCAAAAGAAGAGUUAGCUUCAUGUUUUACGGAUGUUAUGACUCAGAUAGCUCAAGACCUUACGAUGUCAGGGGAUCACCGUUCUCGCAUAACAAGAUUGGAAUCUGAACUGGUUUGAGAAGUUGAAAGGCCUACCUUAUGGUAUCACUUUGUUCAAGUAAUACUUUGAGGUCUAAGGAUAGAUUUUCUUUAAGUUUCAGUUAGCUACAAAGGAAUCAAAUAUUAUUAGUUGAUAUAGGAUCUUCUGAUGUCUUUAAUAACAGGGAGGCGAGUUGUCAGUGCAUCUCCAAUGGUGCAUCAAAAUGAGGGAAAACAUCAAAAAAUGAGGGAAACUCAUCUCCAAUGGUACAUUAUUUUGAGGGAAAAAAUAAGUAUAUGAACAGUAUUACAUCAAAUUUGAGGGAACACUAUUCACAACCUCAUUUUGAUGUCAAGCUUUUUUUAUUUACAUAAUGAUCCUUUAUUUUAUGCAUAAACAAAACAUUAACACUAAACAUAACUUUUAUAACUUUAUACCCAAUAUGUAUAUACUUAUUAAACUUCUUAAAAUAGAAUUACCAAUAAUUAAUUAUUAAAAUAUAAUUAAUAAUUUAAAAUUUUAUAAAUUAUACUAUAUAAUUUAAAAAAAAAUAGAAAACAAUACCAUUGAGAUACAUAAGUAAUACAAAGUUUAAAAAAACACAAGAAACGUAAUACAACAUUUAACAACUCUAAACAUAAGACAAACUUAAUACAAUAUGCAGGCUGUAGCGGAUCACCAACUAUUAUUCUUGAAGCCGUAGCAGAUUAUGAUCUUUGGAUAUGGCAUGCAUAUUUUGGUAUGCCGGGCACCAAUAAUGAUAUCAAUGUGUUAGAAUCUUCUCAUCUUUUCUCCAAUCUUGCUCAAGGUAUUGCUCCUCCUGCUCAGUAUGUCAUUCAAGGAAAAGAAUAUAAUCUGGGUUAUUAUUUGGCUGAUGGAAUAUAUCCAAAAUGGUCUACCAUAGUGCAAACUAUUCAAGAGCCUGUAGGUCCUAAAAAUAAAUAUUUUGCUAUGCAACAAGAAGCAUGCAGAAAAGAUGUGGAACGUGCUUUUGGAGUUCUCCAGUCACGUUUUGCUAUUGUGAAGGGACCCGUUCGUUUUUGGAAAAAAAGAUGUGAUUCAUGACAUAAUGUUUACUUGUGUAAUUUUACACAACAUGAGAAUUGAAGAUGAGCGUGAUCUCGAUGCACCAAUUGUAGUUGGAAGAGAAGUUUCACCUCCGGAAGUUGAAAUAGCUGAAGACGAACCUACCCGAUUCCAAAAGUUUUUGAGUCGGUUUAGACAAAUCAAGGAUAAAGAAGCUCAUUUCUCUCUUCGAAAUGCAUUGAUUGUUCAUUUGUGGGAAAAAUAUAGUAAGAGUAUUGUUUAAGUAAAAUUAUACUAUUACUUUGUAUGUUGUUAUGUACUUUUAUGAAUGUAAUAAAUAUUUGUUUUUUACAAGUUGAAGUUUGGUUAAAUUGUAUAAUUUAAAAAUAAGUGAGAAUAAUUUAAAAUCUUAUAAAAUAAAGGUGUUCUUUGCAAUAUAUAAAAAGUUGAAAAAUGAAUAUAAUAAGAUUUGAAGGAGAAAAUGAGGGGAACCAUUGGAGCAAAUCACAAACUCAUUUUGAGUUUACUUCAUUUUGAGGAAAAAAAUGAGGUAAACCAUUGGAGAUGGUCUCAAACCAUAAAUUGUUGGCAAUGCCGGUAAGACUUGAGCAAAAGGACAAUGUUGACGCUCUUGUACAGAAGUUUCUUCGGCAAAUUUCAUGCUGAGACGUUCCUCGGCAUCGUCGUCGGUCUAGAAGAGAGGUGAGUUGAGGAAGACAAGAACUGGGUCGACCGAUCUUCAUCGACAAGGAACCGUAUCAGCCAGCAAUAAAUGGAGGUUUAAGCGGAUUAGUGUGAUAUCAUGUUUAUUGCAGAGGCAAACUGAAGAGAAUACGAAAUAAACACAUACAGUUUUGUAAUCUGAUCAAAUUAAAUAUAGAAAAAGAUUUAAAUAUAUGUUAAUAUUUAAUUAUACACUCAA